rnacentral:lncRNA from 1 species
GUGUAUGCUCACUGAGUAUCUGUUGAAUUCAAUAUUUUCCAGUAUAUGGUGCCAACAAUAUAAUGGAAAAAAUUGAUAAAACAGAUUAUUCCUAAAAUUUUUUUAAAAAAUGGUUGGUGGGGGGAGGUUUCCAAGUUGGUGGAAUAGUGACAAGUGGUCUGAUUUAUUCUGGGCAAAAAUUAAUAUUUAAAAAGUGGGGAAAGUACACUCUUAGGGUAAAGCUGCUGGGAGCUAUGGUGGGAGAUCCUGUGAAAGCAGUAGAAAUGGCCUGGACCUGUGCAGAAAGAGCAGACACUCAACUACAGACCCAGCAGCUUGGAUCUGGGAAGGAAAGCACCUGCACUGGCCUAACAGGUGAGAUCUGACUUCAGGAGCCCAUGACGCUGUCGAUACAGUGGGAGGGAGAGUAGUGAACUGCACCUUUUGAAUCCAAUGGGGAUCCCUCAGAACAGUGGGUGACUGCUUACUCAGAGCAGUGCAUCUCUCUCCUUCCCCUCUUCUGCUACAAUGGAGACCUGCAGCCAAUAGUGGGAGGGCUGGUGCCAUUUUUGGACAUAAGCAGUUAGUGGCCACCCCAGCUUGUGUGUGUACCCAGAAAUUAUUGGGGUUACCCUUCACCCAACUGGCAGGUGCAACCACAGAAAUUCAAGUACAACUGAAGGAGAUGGUCUCCACAGUGCCAGCUGAAUCUGCCCAGCAAUGGGAGGGGAGGGAGAUCCAUCCCAAUGGAAGCAUGACAGGAUACGCGAAGAGAACUUCAAAAGCGCUUGACAGCUAUAGAGGAUGAGCUCAUGUUUUGUGGAAUGUGGAGAGGACAGUUAUCCUUUAGGCUGGAGGAUGAAGCCUAUUCCUUGGGGGAAAAUGUGCUUCAAAAUACCUUUGGCACCACCUGAAGAAAUGAAGACACUUUUGAAUCACAAGAGGUUAGAGACCUCCAGAAUUUAUGCAAAAUUCCAACUUAUCUAAAACCCCUCCCACAAUUUCAACAUGCUGCUAGCACUGACUGAAUGAAUGUGGCUAUGAAAAUACAUGGUGUGGCUGCACCAUUAAUCAGGUGUGAUCUUUCAAAGUAUCAUAAAUUUCAAUGAUCAAUGCUGAGUCUUGUUUUGAUGACUUGGGGACUAAACCCAUGGAUCAGACUGACAGAGACAAAUAAGAAGCUAAAUAGGGAUGUGAGAGUCUGUUGGGGGUGGGAGCCACUUGUUAGAUUUUCAGACAUGUCACUUGUAAAAGAUGCUGGAUAGUCUGAAACUCUGCAUGUCCCUCAUCUAUGAUUCUACAUGCAUAUAAAUGAAAUUUUGUGUGAUUCCUUGUAGAUUUUAUUUAUUUUGCUUUGAAACAAAAAUAGUAUCAUCCAAGUAGUUAUUAUUCAAAGCAUAUGCUAUUUCUGCAUGAGUUCCAAUGAAUUAGAAUUAAAAGCAAUGCAAAAUCUAUAUGACCAAUUUCUUUCUUGUGUCUUUAUACUUUUACAUAGAAGUUCAAGGAAAAAUUUUAUGAUGAUUUCUUUAACAAUAUUUCUCCUGACAAUGUAAUCCUAGUGAUAACUAUAAUUUGGAAAUCUAAUAACAAAUGAACUAAAACAGAUAUUUGCCAUUUAAUUAU